rnacentral:rRNA from 1 species
GAGUACAACAAGAUGCGAGACCGCGAGGUGGAGCAAAACUGUAAAACUCAUCCCAGUUCGGAUUGUAGGCUGAAACUCGCCUACAUGAAGCUGGAGUUGCUAGUAAUCGCGAAUCAGAAUGUCGCGGUGAAUACGUUCCCGGGCCUUGUACACACCGCCCGUCACACCAUGAGAGUUGGCAAUACCCAAAGUUCGUGAGCUAACGCGUAAGCGGGGCAGCGACCUAAGGUAGGGUCAGCGAUUGGGGUGAAGUCGUAACAAGGUAGCCGUAGGAGAACCUGCGGCUGGAUCACCUCCUUU